rnacentral:tRNA from 1 species
GGGUUGCUCCGACUAGUUCCGGGUUCGAGUCCCGGGCAACCCA